GGCUUUUAAACCACAGGGCUUCAGGGUCAGAGUUUCAAGGUUGUUUUACAAUUAAGGCUCUGUGUCUGGUGAAAAUACAUGGGCGGGUCGUUCUUUUGAACCCCCGCCCAAAAGCUUGCUCAGCUACCCGGUAGGUGACGUGCACGGACUCGAGGUGAUGGCACAGGAGAGUCAGCACUUUCUGUCCCUUCUCCUGGCUCCGCCACCUGUGAGUAGUUGAAAGUGACAAGAGGCCAGUUGAGUCCACACAGUUGGUCACUGGGAGAGGAAACGUUGAGACCCAGACGUGAGAAGGCCGCUCGGGUGGUGUCAGAUUAAUGGGAAACGCCUGACACUCUCAGGUGGGCAUCGGGCUGCCCCUGGGAGAGCCUCCCGUGGUCUGGGCAUUUAUCCGGCGGAGCUGAGGCCUUGGACCCCGUGUUGUCUGGAACUCCGUGGGAAGCAGCAUCUCCUGCUUUGGUAUUUUGAGCUCUGACUGAGGGUCUGAGAAAGCUCCUCCUGGCGUGUGCUCGGUCAGUCUCAGCAGCAGCAGCAGAUUUAGAGACCCCUGGAGAAGGUUGUUCCUAGAGAUGCUAAGACGCUCUGUUCUUUCCCCAUUUUAUCUUGAUUCCAGAUUCUGUCAGCCAAGGCAGGAGAGUUUUGCUCAUAGCUAAAGAUCCAGGAGAGCAUGUGCAAGCCUUAAUUUCAAGCUUUGCGAGGAGAGCAGAAAAGUCCUGUUUACAGCGAUAGCACUGGGGUAGCCGAAGCAGUCCCACGUCGAUACCCGAGUGAUGGAGUGCUUUUGUUUUCUACUCGAGUUUCGUGUAAUUAUUUAAAAAAUAAGAAGAAGAAAGAAAAAAAAAUCCCCUCAUCUGUAUUCCCACAGCCCCCCGCCCCGCCCCUUAAGGAAGGCAAUUCCUAGACCUUAUUGUUCUUCUCCUUCUUUGGGUUUCUUCUGUUGUCGCAAGGACGUCUGCAAGUUUAAACUGAUUUUCCACCUUGCUGGAUGGACAGCCUUUCCGUGACUAAGCAGCCACCCUCCAGCAAGAUUGUGUCACUCACCAGACAUGAUUCAGAGUGUGGGCUCCGGGAGGCCGGGUGCAGCUGAGAAGGUGCAGGAACCCGGGGCAGCGAGGCUGGGAAGGCUGAGUCCCUCUUUCACCUGACGCAAAGCAAGCAUGAGUACGGUAUUCGGGGAGCUCACAUGAACGGAGUCUCGAUCAGCCUUUCCAGCAUCAGCAAGAAUAACUCGCAGGAUGAGUACCUGCCGUCUGGGCUGUGCAGGUGCUGCUCUGUGCUAAUUUAGUGCACACGGGGGCAGGCGGGCUUUGUGGGGUGCUGCCUGCCUUCCGCUCUAAGUGGUAGACAGGGCCGGGCCGCGUGGGUGCAGAGGGCCCGGGAGGCGGGGGACCCCGGUGUCUCUCCCCAAGUGCGUUUCUGGGGUCCAGCACAGGACGCGGCACGGGGCAGGCUCUCGAGCGUUUGCUGCACGGCUCCCCUGACUCUCCCCGAGGCCUGUGGGCCACUCCCUGUCGCAAAAUGCCGGGCGGCUGGAGUUCUGGCUCCUUCCUUUUCUCAUGAAGUCAUUUCGAUGCCUGAACCUCACUAAUCAAAAGCAGUCCUUCUGCAGAGCGGUGCCUGGGAACGCCAAGGCCUCGAAGAUUCGAACUUGAGCACCGUGGUCGGGAAUGUGAGGCUCUGGUCUCGGGGCCUCGGGCACGAGGGUGGUCCUGCCGUUGAACACGCGACAGGAGCCCAGCUCGAUGCAGAGGGAAGUGGGGGCCGGUGGGCAUCUUGUCUCCGAGGGCUCUGGGGCCCCUCACUGCCCUGGAACCCUGUCCGCGUACGUUCUGUAAUGGGUUUUUUUUUUUUUUCCACUUAAAAUGUAAUAAUUAAUUUAGCAAAAA